AUAACAACAAAAGACCACCAUGGCUUUUUGUUUUGUAAAGAAUGGCGUUUGGUCGUAUCACUCUGGGAGUGGACCUGCGGUGCAUUAGCUAGUUGGUAAGGUAACGGCUUACCAAGGCGAUGAUGCAUAGCCGAGUUGAGAGACUGAUCGGCCACAAUGGAACUGAGACACGGUCCAUACUCCUACGGGAGGCAGCAGUAGGGAAUCUUCCACAAUGGGCGCAAGCCUGAUGGAGCAACACCGCGUGAGCGAAGAAGGGUUUCGGCUCGUAAAGCUCUGUUGUUGGAGAAGAACGUGCGUGAGAGUAACUGUUCACGCAGUGACGGUAUCCAACCAGAAAGUCACGGCUAACUACGUGCC
rnacentral:rRNA from 1 species